GGAGAUAGCCUCGUAGAAAUGACAACCACAAUGUUAAUACUAACAUAUGUAUUACAUGGUUUGUUUGUUCUUUCGCUUAAUAUUUUCAGAGCACCUACCUAUUAUAGGCACUGUCACUUCUCACAAAACUGGGACAACUAACUGUUUAUCCAACAUCUGCUGGCUAAAUAAAGACAUGAUCUUCACCUUUUGGGAUUGUUAAUUUAAAAUGGUUCCAUAAGAGCAAUGCAAAGACAGAGAUAUUUGGCAGCACUGCAGCUGGUGAUUUAUAUGGCUCUUCACAAGGUGUUAUUUUGGGGUAUCAAGGUAUGGAUGCUUAAAUCAGCUGCAGGAAGUAAGAAAGAAGAAAAAAGGAGUGAUAAAGAUAAAAAAAAAUCAACCUUGGUCCUUCCACCAAGACCCAUUAAUUUCCAUAUCAUCAUCUGCAUAAGAGGGAAGAUUCCUACAUGACCAGUGGCCUCAUUCAGGAUCAGAGCUUAACCAUCACGACACAUGGGUGAGGGGAAGAUAAAUCACUGUUCCUCCAGCAUCCAAAAAUAUAUCCAAUCCCCCAUUCUUCAUGGCCAUGUGGAAGAAAGAUCCUACUUACUGGUACACCCAUCAACAAAAAACAAACCCAAAAUGGAGAAGAGAAGAGGAUAUAUUAACCAUUACAUAUUUUAUAAACACUACAAACCCUGGCAAGUAACAUUUGUGAAAUUAGUGAAUGAAUGAAUUAAUAAAUGAACAUAAGUGUGAAGCAU
rnacentral:lncRNA from 1 species